rnacentral:rRNA from 1 species
UACGUAGGGGGCAAGCGUUGUCCGGAAUCAUUGGGCGUAAAGCGCGUGUAGGCGGCCCGGUAAGUCCGCUGUGAAAGUCGGGGGCUCAACCCUCGGAUGCCGGUGGAUACUGUCGGGCUAGAGUGCGGGAGAGGCGAGUGGAAUUCCUGGUGUAGCGGUGAAUGACGCAGAUAUCAGGAGGAACACCAAUUGCGAAGGCAGCUCGCUGGAACGUUACUGACGCUGAGACGCGAAAGCGUGGGGAGCAAACAGG